UCAAAAGAAUCAAUGUUGGUGGAUUUUCGUAGCGUUUCCUUUUUCUUUUAUUUUUCCCUCCACUGUUAUUUAUUUAUCCCUCCACUGUUUACCUUAGUUUUUCACCGAGAGAUAUCCCAACUAGGCAACUAAAUAAAUAAUCAUCUAGUUAUUUGGAAAUAAAAUAACUACUAGAGUUUGAUCCGCACGGGUGUCCGACUAUUAAUUUUUUAUUUUUUUAUAAAUUAUUUAAAGAUAUUUUUAAACACAUAUAUUAUUUAGAUAUUUUUAGGUUUUUAUAAUCUAUUUGGAUCCGGAAUGAUCUGAGUCCGAACCCCGUC
rnacentral:lncRNA from 1 species